GGAUUAAGGGCGGUGCAAGAUGUGCUUUGUUAAACAGAUGCUUGAAGGCAGCAUGCUCGUUAAGAGUCAUCACCAUUCCCUAAUCUCAAGUACCCAGGGACACAAACACUGCGGAAGGCCGCAGGGUCCUCUGCCUAGGAAAACCAGAGACCUUUGUUCACUUGUUUAUCUGCUGACCUUCCCUCCACUAUUGUCCUGUGACCCUGCCAAAUCCCCCUCUGUGAGAAACACCCAAGAAUGAUCAAUAAAAAAUAAAUAAAUUAAAAAAAAAAAAAAAAGGUUACACGCUAAAAAAAAAAAAAAAAUUAGCCAGGUGUGGUGGUGUGCACUUGUAGUCCCAGCUAUUGGGGGUGGGGCUGAGGUUAGAGGUUUUUUAGAGCCCAGGAUGUGCAGUUUGCAGUGAGACCUGUCUCAAAACAACAAUCAAAAACCAUUUCCAAGAAAUAAAUGCAAUAAAUAUUGUGAUGUUCCCUCUCUGUGUGUGUAUUCUUACCACCUACUUGUGUGCUUAUUUAUUGAAAUAAAAUUGCAGACAUAAA
rnacentral:lncRNA from 1 species